UUCAGAAGAUAGUUUUUGUUAUUAAGAAGAUAUUUUUAUUAAGAAGAUAUUUGUUUUUAUUAAGAAGAUGGUUGUUGAUAUUGAGACUGUUGACAUCAAGAAGACUGUUGUUUCUAUAAAGAAGAAUGCUGGAUUUAUGAAGAAAAUUCGGAAAAAGUCAAUAAAUUCUGGAGACGUGUCUUA